UACGAAGGGGGCUAGCGUUGCUCGGAAUUACUGGGCGUAAAGGGCGCGUAGGCGGCACUGUUAGUCAGGCGUGAAAGUCCUGGGCUCAACCUGGGAACUGCGCUUGAUACGGCAGAGCUAGAGGAUGGAAGAGGGUCGCGGAAUUCCCAGUGUAGAGGUGAAAUUCGUAGAUAUUGGGAAGAACACCGGUGGCGAAGGCGGCGACCUGGUCCAUUACUGACGCUGAGGCGCGACAGUGUGGGGAGCGAACAGG
rnacentral:rRNA from 1 species